CACGCAAGUCGAACGGAUCCCAUGGUCUAGCAAUAGGUCGGAAGGGUGAGUGGCGAACGGGUGAGUAACACGUGAGGAACCUGCCCCGGACUCAGGGAUAACGGCUGGAAACGGCUGCUAAUACCUGAUGCCGUCGUAUCAUCGCAUGGUGGUGUGACGAAAGAAUCUCGGUUUGGGAGGGUCUCGCGGCCUAUCAGCUUGUUGGUGGGGUAAUGGCCUACCAAGGCGUCGACGGGUAGCUGGUCUGAGAGGAUGAUCAGCCACACUGGGACUGAGACACGGCCCAGACUCCUACGGGAGGCAGCAGUGGGGAAUCUUGCGCAAUGGGCGAAAGCCUGACGCAGCAACGCCGCGUGCGGGAAGAAGGCCUUAGGGUUGUAAACCGCUUUCAGUAGGAACGAAAUUGACGGUACCUGCAGAAGAAGGUGCGGCCAACUACGUGCCAGCAGCCGCGGUGACACGUAGGCACCGAGCGUUGUCCGGAUUUAUUGGGCGUAAAGAGCUCGUAGGCGGUUGAGUAAGUCGGGUGUGAAAACUCUGGGCUUAACCCAGAGCCGCCACUCGAUACUGCUCUGACUUGAGUUCGGUAGGGGAGCAGGGAAUUCCUAGUGUAGCGGUGAAAUGCGCAGAUAUUAGGAGGAACACCGGUGGCGAAGGCGCUGCUCUGGGCCGAAACUGACGCUGAGGAGCGAAAGCGUGGGUAGCAAACAGGAUUAGAUACCCUGGUAGUCCACGCCGUAAACGUUGGGCACUAGGUGUGGGUUCCAACCAACGGAAUCCGCGCCGUCGCUAACGCAUUAAGUGCCCCGCCUGGGGAGUACGGCGGCAACGCUAAAACUCAAAGGAAUUGACGGGGGCCCGCACAAGCAGCGGAGCGUGUUGCUUAAUUCGAUGCAACGCGAAGAACCUUACCUGGGUUUGACAUGCUAGGAAAAGCUGUAGAGAUAUGGUGUCCUUCGGGGCUUAGCACAGGUGGUGCAUGGCUGUCGUCAGCUCGUGUCGUGAGAUG
rnacentral:rRNA from 1 species